GAGUUUGAUCGUGGCUCAGAUUGAACGCUGGCGGCAGGCCUAACACAUGCAAGUCGAGCGGUAGAGAGAAGCUUGCUUCUCUUGAGAGCGGCGGACGGGUGAGUAAUGCCUAGGAAUCUGCCUGGUAGUGGGGGAUAACGCUCGGAAACGGACGCUAAUACCGCAUACGUCCUACGGGAGAAAGCAGGGGACCUUCGGGCCUUGCGCUAUCAGAUGAGCCUAGGUCGGAUUAGCUAGUUGGUGAGGUAAUGGCUCACCAAGGCGACGAUCCGUAACUGGUCUGAGAGGAUGAUCAGUCACACUGGAACUGAGACACGGUCCAGACUCCUACGGGAGGCAGCAGUGGGGAAUAUUGGACAAUGGGCGAAAGCCUGAUCCAGCCAUGCCGCGUGUGUGAAGAAGGUCUUCGGAUUGUAAAGCACUUUAAGUUGGGAGGAAGGGCAGUAAAUUAAUACUUUGCUGUUUUGACGUUACCGACAGAAUAAGCACCGGCUAACUCUGUGCCAGCAG
rnacentral:rRNA from 1 species